GGGAAGGAAAACAGCUGUUAUGCUGAGGGACAGCGCUUGCACGAGAACAAAAGGAUAUGAACAGGCCAUGAAUACAUUUGUGAAUAUGAUUAUGGGACAUGGUGUUUACAAUAGCAAAGGACUUGCCUCAGUGACCAGGACGCCCCACUGGUUUUAAGGUCUGUGGUGAGUCCCCUGGCUGUUGUUCCUGAUUAAUUUUUCUGCUAUUAGCUUUAUGCUCAUUGCCAGCUCAUCAUCUCAUAUUCCUCAGGGUGUAACAUCCCUGUGUAUUUGUCACAGAAAGACAUAUUCAGAGCAAGAGCACCUAACCCCCCACCGCCCACAUCCCAAGUCAUGCAGGAGAUGGGAAAAGCAGUUCCUGAUGUCAGUGAGAGAAAGGGAGAUAAAAGAGAAGGGACAGCCGAAAUCACACCUCACAGGAAGAGCGACGUGAACUUUGAAAACUGGGGCAGUUGUUGGAACUUGCUUACCUGCAGGGGCAGCAGUGCGGAUGAAAGAGAUCCCUACGAACGAAACAGAAACUGACAGGUAACCAUUAAAACCACUUGUAAUCCAAAAGGAGAAGAGGGAAGGCCAACCGUGGGCCACAUCUGUGUUCAGCAAAGUGGGGACGAGAGGAAUGGAGCUGACCUGGACCCGUGAGAUGCUGGUUGUGCAUCACAGAACAUCACAGCCUGGUUUUCCUGCAGCCUGGGAGAGACAUCUGUGCCCUCACACAGACCUGGGGAUGACAGUGAGCAGGGACAUUGCUUCCUAGUUCUCUAGAUGCUCACUAGAGAUGCUCUGUGAAAGCAUCUUGUGGAAAUACAUCAAUGAGAGCCAUUUUUCUCACACAGGUGCUUCCAAGCAUCAUAAACUUUCUCUCAGACAGAAAGGGCACAGUUGAUGCUGUAAUUAUUGCAAAAUAAAAAGAUUAAAAUUGA
ensembl:lncRNA